rnacentral:piRNA from 1 species
UGAAUGUUUCAUUAUAAUGCCUUGACCUUU